UCCAAACUCUACGGGAGGCAGCAGUGAGGAAUAUUGGUCAAUGGACGAGAGUCUGAACCAGCCAAGUAGCGUGAAGGAUGAAGGUUUAUGGAUUGUAAACUUCUUUUAUACGGGAAUAACGGAUCCACGCGUGGAUUUCUGCAUGUACCGUAUGAAUAAGGAUCGGCUAACUCCGUGCCAGCAGCCGCGGUAAUACGGAGGAUCCGAGCGUUAUCCGGAUUUAUUGGGUUUAAAGGGAGCGUAGAUGGGUUGUUAAGUCAGUUGUGAAAGUUUGCGGCUCAACCGUAAAAUUGCAAUUGAUACUGGCAGUCUUGAGUACAGUUGAGGUAGGCGGAAUU
rnacentral:rRNA from 1 species